rnacentral:lncRNA from 1 species
AAGAAUGAGAGGUCUAUUGAGUGAAUAAGAGGUAAUUAAUUGAUUGAAAUAUAUGUCAAUAAAUAACUAAGAUUAUGUUAAGAAUUUAAAAUGAGGUACGGUGAGCAAAUGUUUAUAUUAAAAAGUAAAAGGUGUAGUGAGAAUGAGAGGUAUAAUGAAAAAAUUUAGAGGUCCCAAUAACCAUACUUAAAAGUGAUUAAACAUCUUUUUUUAAGGACCGGCCAACCUUCUUUAUCAUUACUUAAAGCCUUAUUUAAGAAAUACAUGGUUACCACGCAAUUGAAGAUUGUAAUCAUUCAAUCACUCUCUUAAGCAUACAGAAUUUUCAGUACAUAUAUCUCGAUCAUCAAAGAGAUCGUAGUCAUAGCCCAGACAGAUAUACUUUUCCAUAAGCAUAGAUAAUCAUGAGGUGUUGCAAGUUAAUACUCUUCUAAAUGGCCGAGAGUAGGCAAAGAAAGAGUUCCAAUCAUUCAUACUUGUGUUCUUUUUUCCAAGGUAUAAUACUUCUUUAUCUGAUCAAUUGCAAGCUUUCAAUAUUAUAUGCAUGUUUCUAAAUCAUUUUUCUUGAUGAACAUUAGAUGCCAACAUAGCUAAACUGGUAAGAAAUAUUUUAUUGAUAUCGAUCUAGUCCAUUUGUAAAGAAUAAUUGGUUGAUAAGAUUCCUACUUAGCAUUAAAAAAUGUGUUAUUAGAAAGACUCUUUUCACUUAGCAUUAGAAAAAUGUGUUAAAAUUAGAAAGACCUUUCCUGCUUAGCAUCAAAAAAAUGUGUUAUUAGAAAGACCAAGCAUAAAAGAGAGAUGUGAUCAAGUGUGAACUUUGAUUGAUUUCAUCAACAACUCGAAAUGGCAUGAUGAACAUGCACCCUUUGUUA